GGAUGUAGCUCAGUUUGGUAGAGUACCUGCUUUGGGAGUAGAUAGUCGUAGGUUCAAAUCCUGCUAUCC
rnacentral:tRNA from 1 species